UACGUAGGGUGCGAGCGUUGUCCGGAAUUAUUGGGCGUAAAGAGCUCGUAGGCGGUUUGUUGCGUCGGCCGUGAAAACCUGCAGCUUAACUGUGGGCUGCGGCCGAUACGGGCAGACUUGAGUUCGGUAGGGGAGACUGGAAUUCCUGGUGUAGCGGUGAAAUGCGCAGAUAUCAGGAGGAACACCGAUGGCGAAGGCAGGUCUCUGGGCCGAUACUGACGCUGAGGAGCGAAAGCGUGGGGAGCGAACAGG
rnacentral:rRNA from 1 species